rnacentral:lncRNA from 1 species
AGAAGGACCAUCUCUUCAACAGCAACCCUAGCUGGGACUAUGGAGCCUUCAGGCGGCUGGAAUACCUGAUGAGACACACACACUUUAACUCCUCCAGGUUUGCCCACGUGUUCCCUGAGUCGGGCACGUUCGUGUUUGCAGACAGCGCUGUGCCCGAGAGGAGCCUGGUGGUGGUGGUGAGCGAGGACGGCUCCUCCUGCGACCCCAACGCGCCCCCCUUCCAGCCCAGCUCCCCCGCCCAGCUGGUCCGACACGGAGUCGCCCCGCGGCCCCGCCUCAACCUGCUGCCCGACUGGGGGGCCAUCGCAGGUAUCCUGGUGACCCUGCUGGUCCUGGUGGCGGUCGUGACAGGCACAGCUCUGCUGCUGAAGCCCCACAGGAGUCACCUGGUCUCCCAGGGCAACCCCAAACCUCGCUGGCGCAGUCUGGGACACCCCCCCACUCCCCUGGAGUACGUCUACAACGGGGAGAGCCUGGACGCUCCCUCUGCGCUGGGCCUGAGAGGGGUGGGAGAAGGAGCAGAGGCUGAGGAGAAAGCCAUCUGGAGAGGAGGCUGUAAGAGUGUGAGUAUGGAUCUGGAGGAGUUUAAUGUGAAGACGCUGUACGAUAAGCUGGAGGACCAGAACCUGCACGUGGCGUCCCAGCUGGCCAAGUACCGCAAAGACACACAGGAGUUUUACCGCAACAUCUGCCAGCAGACAGACAGCCUGAAGGUGAGACAGCGAAGAGGGAGACCAGGGCCUAGCCCGUGUAUACACACAUAAACACA